rnacentral:piRNA from 1 species
UACAUAGGAAUCGAAAUAUGC